UACGGAGGGUGCAAACGUUGCUCGGAAUCAUUGGGCGUAAAGCGAACGUAGGCGGCAUUGCAAGUCGGGUGUGAAAGCCCUCAGCUUAACUGAGGAACUGCGUCUGAGACUGGCAAGCUUGAGUGCAGGAGAGGAACGCGGAAUUCCAGGUGUAGCGGUGAAAUGCGUAGAUAUCUGGAGGAACACCGGUGGCGAAGGCGGCGUUCUGGACUGUAACUGACACUGAUGAACGAAAGCCAGGGGAGCAAACGGG
rnacentral:rRNA from 1 species